rnacentral:sRNA from 2 species
CGUCUGAACAGCGGAUCUGAAAACAAAACAAAAAAAAAUUAAAAGGAACCUCGUGGCCAUCUCUGCCCUUGAGGACUUACUUGCUCCGAUCCCUCGCACCACACGGAAUAUAUGUAUCUACUUCAUGCAUCCGUAACUAUCUUCCUGUUCUGGAGAAGAUAAUUAUGGCAGCUCGUUUCUGCUGCACGCAUGAAUUCUCGUUUUAUAUCUCUAAAUAUAUCUAUAUGUAUAGUUAUCUAUAUAUAUCUAUAUCUAUAUCUAUAUAUUUCCGAAUAAGAAACUCUACCAAGACAUCAAAACAGUUUCAUGCAGGAACAGACAACAUGCAGGAACCGCAGCGAGCGACAGGAACACGUUCAUGCAUUGUGAAACAAAGG